CCUACGGGUGGCUGCAGUGGGGGAUAUUGGACAAUGGGGGAAACCCUGAUCCAGCGACGCCGCGUGAGUGAAGAAGUAUUUCGGUAUGUAAAGCUCUAUCAGCAGGGAAGAAAGAAAUGACGGUACCUGAGUAAGAAGCCCCGGCUAACUUUGUGCCAGCCGCCGCGGUAAUACGUGGGGGGCAGGCGUUCUCCGGAAUUACUGGGUGUAAAGGGAGCGUAGACGGUAAUGCAAGUCUGGAGGGAAAGGCGGGGGCACAACCCCCGGACUGCUCUGGAAACUGGGGAACUGGAGUGCAGGAGAGGCAGGCGGAAUUCCUAGUGUAGCGGUGAAAUGCGUAGAUAUUAGGAGGAACACCAGUGGCGAAGGCGGCCUGCUGGACUGUAACUGACGUUGAGGCUCGAAAGCGUGGGGAGCAAACAGGAUUAGAUACCCCGGUAGUC
rnacentral:rRNA from 1 species